rnacentral:rRNA from 1 species
CAAUAGCGUAUACUAAAGUUGUUGCAGUUAAAAAGCUCGUAGUUGAAUUUCUGGUCUUGGACGGCGGUCUGCCUCAAACGAGGUACGCACCAUCUGUCCGGGUCCAUCCUCGGGGAAAACAUAUCUGUGAUUCAGUUCAUGGGUAUGGGAUCCUCGUCAUUUACUGUGAGCAAAAUAGGGUGUUCAAAGCAGGCUUAUGCCGUUGAAUACAUUAGCAUGGAAUAAUAAGAUAAGACCUUGGUCUAUUUUGUUGGUUUGCAUUCCAAGGUAAUGAUUAAUAGGGACAGUUGGGGGUAUUCGUAUUCAAUUGUCAGAGGUGAAAUUCUUGGAUUUAUGGAAGACGAACUACUGCGAAAGCAUUUACCAAGGAUGUUUUCAUUAAUCAAGAACGAAAGUUAGGGGAUCGAAGAUGAUCAGAUACCGU